rnacentral:rRNA from 1 species
UUAAGUCCCGAAACGAGCGCAACCCCUAUCCCAUGUUACAAGUGUCUUGGGAAACUGCCUCGGUAAAACGGGGAGGAAGGUGGGGAUGACGUCUGGUCCGCAUAGUCCUUAUGUCCUGGGCUACACACGCGCUACAAUGGUCGGUACAAUGGGCAGCCAAGCCGCAAGGCGGAGCUAAUCCUUUAAACCCGAUCUCAGUUCGGAUUGUGGGCUGCAACUCGCCCACAUGAAGUUGGAUUUGCUANUAAUCGNGGNUCAGCCAUGCCCCGGUGNAUACGUUCUNGGGUCUUGCACACUCCNCCCGUCAAGCCANGGNNGUAGGUNAUACCNGANGGUGUCUUGCUGUUNACAGUNGGAUGGCGAAGGUAACGCUUAUGACUGGGGUUAAGUCGUAACAAGGUAGCCGUAA